rnacentral:rRNA from 1 species
UACGGAGGGUGCAAGCGUUAUCCGGAUUUACUGGGUUUAAAGGGUGUGUAGGCGGGGCUUUAAGUCAGUGGGGAAAUCUCCGAGCUCAACUUGGAAACUGCCAUUGAUACUAUUGAUCUUGAAUUUUGUUGAGGUGGGCGGAAUACGUCAUGUAGCGGUGAAAUGCAUAGAUAUGACAUAGAACACCAAUUGCGAAGGCAGCUCACUAAGCAAACAUUGACGCUGAGGCACGAAAGCGUGGGGAUCAAACAGG